rnacentral:misc_RNA from 1 species
UAUAGAGGGCUCAAGCGUUAAUCGGUGUCACUGGGCUUAAAGGGUGCGUAGGCGGACCUGUAAGUGUUUUGUGAAUCCUACGGCUCAACCGUGGAAUUGCUUGGCAUACUGCAGGUCUUGAGGUCGGUAGGGGCUGCCGGAACUCUAGGUGUAGCGGUGAAAUGCGUAGAUAUCUAGAGGAACGCCAAAGGUGAAGACAGGCAGCUGGGCCGAUUCUGACGCUGAGGCACGAAAGCGUGGGUAGCGAACGGG